rnacentral:rRNA from 1 species
AUUGAACGCUGGCGGCAUGCUUUACACGUGCAAGUCGAACGGUAACAGGCCUUCGGGUGCUGACGAGUGGCGAACGGGUGAGUAAUGCAUCGGAACGUGCCCAGAGGUGGGGGAUAACGCAGCGAAAGCUGUGCUAAUACCGCAUGUGAUCUGAGGAUGAAAGCGGGGGACCAGGCAGCAAUGUUUGGCCUCGCGCCUUUGGAGCGGCCGAUGUCAGAUUAGGUAGUUGGUGGGGUAAAGGCCUACCAAGCCGACGAUCUGUAGCUGGUCUGAGAGGACGACCAGCCACACUGGGACUGAGACACGGCCCAGACUCCUACGGGAGGCAGCAGUGGGGAAUUUUGGACAAUGGGCGCAAGCCUGAUCCAGCAAUGCCGCGUGCGGGAAGAAGGCCUUCGGGUUGUAAACCGCUUUUGUACGGAACGAAAAGGCUCUGGCUAAUACCUGGGGCUGAUGACGGUACCGUAAGAAUAAGCACCGGCUAACUACGUG